UGCCCUCGCAGCGGUGAGGGGUGCCAGUGAAGUUAGUUGAGAAGCAGUGACAGCCUCAAAGAUCCCCAAAUGGCCUGACCUCCGUCUCUGGGCCACAAGGAACCACAGCUGGACCAGACACAGGAGAGAUGCAGAACCCAAGGCUAACAAGGAGAAAGUUGCCCGAGAUAACACUGCCAAAGUGGCUGCCCGGUCCUAUGCAUCCUUCUUCGCCUCCUUCCUGCCUUCCAGCCAGUGAGACCAUGGAAAGGGCACAGAGGAGCCAGCACCCCAGAGGGGUCUCCUGAGGACCAGAGGAAGGCAGGCAACAGGAACCCUGGAAACAGAACUCCUCCCAGGAGCUUCCCGACAGAAGACAGAGGUUCCCCCGGGGCUCGGCAACAUUUCCUGAAGACAAUGGGGAGCAGGAAGGAGGAACGGCUCAUUCGUGGAGCAGCCCCCCAGACCGCCAGGCCAGCACCAGGCACUCCUCCAGGGCGAGGAUGACAUCAAGUUCAGUCCCGUCUCCCCCUUGGCACGCAGAAGACGGACUCGGUGUGCCGGAUGGGCAGGUGAAAUGGUUAGACUGUCUCAAACCCAAAGAAUUGGUCACGGGGGUGAGACAUCGAGCAUAGAGGCUGAAAUGGGGGCCCUGGGCCUGCUGUCCAUAGUGAGGAAUCCCAGCUCAGCUCCUAGCUCCCUGCCCUCAGAGAAGUCUCUUCCCAAGGAGCCUGGGGGAUGCAUGGGGAAAUGGCCCAAUGACAGCAUUCAGUAAAUGACUGUUCUUAGCACCGUCUGCACCCUUAGGAUUUUUCUAGACGUAAAGAAACAACGAGGCAGCCUAUCGCCACAGAGGAACUGGAGGCCAAACCCUCCCCUGGUCAGAGGCUGUGCCUCAAACCCCGGUCCCUGCGUCAGAGGUACUCCCGCAGGAGCGUGGGACUGCCCCGUCCACUUCCUGUUCCUACACCCAGGAGAGCUGCUCUUUUUUCAGUGAGCCCGGUGGGACAAUGGGAUGUGCUGGAAAUAGCCCUUGGCACCCCCACCCCCUUCAGGCUGGACUGUGACCUAGAACCCUCCUCCUCCCCUUCCGGGUCCUCCAUGGGGCAGUGAUAACAUCGCCUCGCCCGCCCCCUCGCCCCCUCGGCUGCUCUGAAGAUUAACUGUGGCCCAGAUUGCCGUCACUCAGGUGCCCUUUUAAAAAAUGUUUACAAUCGUAACAUUUUCAAGUUUAAGGUGCCAUAGUUACUAUCUACAUCUAGUCACUAAGGAUGAAAAACUGUAACACUGACCAGAAUUAGGAGAAGAGAGUCAGAGCACAGACAGGGAGAAUGACCCUGGGUUAUCGUUCUCUCCCCAGUACCCUGGCGUGCAGGCCCUGGGCCUGGGGCUGAUAAGCAGGCCGAGGAGAGUGGCGGACGGAGAGGGCCCGGCCGAGGCUUCCCCUCCGGGGAGGCAGGACUGAGAGUGGAUGGACAGGCUGGAGUCUCUCUGUCUUCCACAGGUAGUUAGUGCCGAGGCCGAAGGCUCUCCCCCGACUGUUCACUCCCUGGGCUGCACCCCCAAGUCAGAGCUGGUUUUGGUAAAGGGCUUUGGGGAAACCUGGGCACCCACUGGGUGCAGGGGCUGGUUUACCUGCUUGGUUCCAGGCAGCAGAUGAUCCCUUUUUUUGGAGCAGCCCUUCCUGACUCCUGACUGAGACCUCCACCUGGGUCAGGCGAGUGUGCCCUCUCGCAGGGCUGAGGGGAGCAUCGAAGAGAGGAGGGACAGGCUGUCCCCAAGGCUGGUCCUGAUGUUGGAAUCCCUCCCCAGACCAGCGCAGUUUGCAGAGUUCCUACAAGAAUUCCAUGUGAGAGGCAGGCAUUUCUUUGGCUGGCCACGCCUCAGGAAGGGGCUGCUUGCUUAGGGGGCCCCCGGGGCUGACCAACCUACCCCAAAUGUCAGAGCAGGGGAGAAGGCUCUCUGGAUCGGGGCCUGAUUUCAGACUUCUGCUAGAAGCAUCGGAGACGCGUUUUAGUAUCAACUGUAUUUUUCCUGCUCACUUCCAGCCCUGAGGAAGGGUUGCCCACCCCCACUUUGCCCUUAGACAUCCCUGAACAUUUAUGUUAUCUGGCAUCAAGGCCACCUCAGUGGGCAUCCAGAAAAGAAGGAGGAUGCUCUCAGGGUGCCCUGAGAUCUUGGGGGACAGGUGGAGUGCAGGGGGCUCUGCCUACUCACUCAGAUGUUCCCACCCAAGCCAGGUCCGUCCGAAGAGGAAAAUGAAUGACCCACAUGCCAGUCAAUCGUCCACCGAGUGGCAUUCAUCCCCUGGGCCCGUCAUCAAGUACGAAGGCAUCAGCAGAGCCCAGGACACCCCUGCAUUAACCAGAGGCGGGUGCUGUCCCCAGGGAACUGGAAGUCCAGCCCAGUCACAGCGAGAUGCAAUGGCCCUGACACCAGAGGGAAGGAGGUUGAGGAACACGAUCCAGCUACCGGCCAGGGCUGUGGGGUCCACACCGUCUGAGCUUGCUCUCCGUGGUGAGUACCGCUGGCAGGGUCCCCUCCUGUGCGGCUGGGCCGCAGCCCAUGAGUGCCAAGUGGUCUGAAAUGAGACGGCCGAGGCAAAGGAUCAGGAAAAGGGCACAGGAAAAGGAUGUUUGAGGACACGAGGUCUGAGAAAGUGAGGGAGCGCGUCCCUGAAGAAGUGGCCAUUGUAGUCGGCACUGAGCCCACGCAGAGCAGAUAGGCAGUGGGGUGGCAUGGCACCUGGGAGCCUGAGGUGGUGGGUGCAGGGUUCCCUGGAGGAGAGGCCCAAGGGAAAGAGGUCCACCGGCCGUGGCUCGAUGGGGCGGGCACCACAGCCUUUGGUGAUGGUUUCAGAAUCUAGCUGGAGGGUAGUGGGAGCUCUCUUGGCAUUUUAGGAGGGGAGAGAUAGGACCAUAUUUGCAUUUUGAGAACUCACUCUGGGUGGAGGGCAGGGAGGGGUGGGUGGGAAGUCUGGGUGUUGGGGGUAGAGGCAGGGAGAGCAGGCAGGGGCCAUGGCAGACGUUGGGUGGUACGAAAUGUCAGUCCAGGGCUGUGCUGUUUGUCUGGGAUACACCGAGCACAAAGGAGGGGCACGGAGUCAACAUAUUGGGAGACUCCAUUUAUUGGAAUGUGGAGAACAGGCAGCUCUAGAGAGACCGAAUGUGGUCUGCCCAGGGCUGGGGCCGGUGGGGGUGGGAGGGGCUGCGUGGUAAGAGGUUUCUUUCUGGAGGGAUGAAAUAUUCCCAAGCUGAUUGUGGCGAUGGUUGUGCAACUUUGUGAUGUACUUACCCCCUUUAUUGUACACUUUAAAGGGGGAGAGGAUCUCAUUGCCAUAAAGCUCUUUAAAAAAUAAACAAAUAAGAGAAAAGUUGAGGUUUGGUCCCAGAGGGCUCAAAUGCCAGGCCAACGAGGGGGGUGGGGGGUACAGUCGCCUGAGGGGCGGAGAGGGUGGAGCAGAGGCCCAUCCCGGCCUCCCUGCCCGGGGCCUCCCUGCCUGGCCAAACCUGUCCCCCAGCCUGAGGUGCAGUGCUGCAUCUCUGGUCAGUUGGGAGUCUGAGAUGAAGCACUGUAGCUCAGGAAGGGAGAAGCUGUUCAGCAGACACCCGCCGGAAUCGGUAAGUGCUGGCGUUGCGGGGGAGGGGAGGGGACCAGGAGGGGCAUGGACACUUCCCAUCUCCAGACUGUCAACGGCUUGUGCUGAGGAAGUCUCUGGACCUAAGACUCACCCAUGCCACCAUCUGCUUCAUGAUUCUGGGCAAGUCCUGGCUGCUCUGUGCCCCACAGUGUGUCCAUUGUAAGAUGAGCGGUUGGAGCAUUUAGUGUGGCCAUUACCCAGCAUCCUGCUUUUUCUGAGCCGUGGCGGACCCCGCUAAUCUGUCAAGGUGUCCAUUCUUGAAGCGCUCAGAUGCAGCUUCAGAAUCCUUCUCAACACUGAAGUCCCAUCAGGGACUCAGAGCUGAAACCCACUCACCAUUUGGGGGUUGGACAAAAUCCUUCCAUCCUAAAGAUAAAGUCCAGAGCUUUGAGCCAGGCUCAACUCUCUUGGAGUUGCUAAGCUUGCUCCAGGCUAUUGACUAAAACCAAUCCAAACAUCUCACAAACACCUGCUGUCUCCUAGAGGCUUCAGACCAGCAAGGAACAGCAGAGGAAAAUCACUGGGCUAAGCACAAUUUUAUUUAACCUCCCAAAAAGCUUGGGAGGUGGGUAAUGUUAUGGGCCCAUUUUACAGAUGAGAAAACUAAGGCUCAGUUAAUUAAUUUUCCCAGGGUCACACCUUGAUAGUAUUGAAGCCAGGGUUGUAGCCUAAUCUGUCUGCUUUCAGAUCUGUAUUGUAACCCAGUGCACAUGACAUUGAAACCUGGGGGUUGGGGCCUGGAGGUGAACAUAGUAAACCCUGCUCUGGUCUUGUCCUUACAUCUUGGGUCACUUUCAGCAAAGAUAGGCCCAGACACUUUCCGUCAAUCUUAUCAAUUCUCUGCUCCUGAGCCUCCACCCCCUAAAUUAUUUUUAUCUCAACUAAUCCAGUAGGUCCUCUACGAUCCCAUUUUACCGUAGAGGAAAGCCGAGGUUAAGUGACUUGCUGGAGGCCACCAUGGAGGAAGUUGCCAGAGGCCAGGGACCAGAUCUGCCCAGUUGGUUUAGAGCAAAACCCUCCCUCUGGCUGGAGACUCAGGAAUGCACACAACUCAUGGUUGUCCUGGGAAGGGGGGCGGCUUGCUGGAUGGAUGCUGGUCAACAACGUGGCCUUUGACCCCAGGGAAAGUACUUUCCAGGCCACUGGGAGUUCCAGUCACUACGCCUCCCGGAGCCACAUCCUGCGAUACGGGGCGGCCCACUCUGCCCUCUGCAGACAGGCUGGAUGCAGAAGACACUCCAGGUGGGGACGUGGCACUCUCACCUUGUCCUCACGGUCCAGUUUUCCCAGGAAUCCCUUAGAUGCUAAGAUGGGGAUUCCUGGAAAUACUGUUCUUGAGGUCAUGGCUUAACAGCUGGAUUCGCCUCCUCCCCAUCCCAGAGUUGCCCCGGGGCCUCGGCUCCAGCACGGCAGGCGGGUCAAGUGGAGGCCUGCGCUGGAGGUAAGAGGGCUUGCAGACUGUGUUCUUGACCUUUAAGUUGCUUUUCUUUCCAUUUGGUCCAUUUCGUAACAUCCCUUUGAGGCUGGAUGUGGGAACUUCACCACUGUGGCACUCUUGGGAAAUUCGUGCCGGCACUCAACUGAGCAGUGGUGGAGCCAGGACACCAUACGGCACCAGUUUCUUCCCGUCUCCACCCACCCUCGCCCCACUUCCCAGCAUGCUGGAUGGUGGGGACACAGUAUCGUAUCCACUUAUUGAGAAACUAAUAAAUGCACAUCGUAUUUGUAAAGUUUAUUAAAUCAGCUAGGUAAACUAAAAACCACGAGUCUUAGAUCACUUUGGAAUGCAGCCAUAGAAAAAGGAAAAUUUUUUCAAGGUAGAGAAGACAAAGCUCAGAGCACCCUCUUGUGGUGAUGCCUGCCUCUGCCCACUCCAGGAAUACUGUGUGCUUGUGCGCGCGAGCGCACGCGAACACACACAACCACUCACACCUGCAGAGACUCUUCCCCACUAACCCGGGACCGCUGUGGCCCCAUCCAUCAUCUCAUUACUAAGGAUGCCUCCAUCAAAAGUGUACUUUUGCUUCCAUACCCUGGCUUCUCCUCGAAGGUCAUGUAACUAGUGAGGCUCAGAGAGGUAAAGUGACCAGCCCAAGGUUGCCCAGAUAACAAAAGGUAGAGCCAGGAAUGGAUUCCAAGUACAGUAGCCUAUGGCAAUUCCUUAGCCAAAAGCAAAAAGUACAGGACAAAAAAAAAAAAAAAAAGACUUUCUAAAUAGACAUAUGAUAUGCUAAUUAAUGACUGAAUGCCAAAGACUGGGAGUGGUCCAGGCACAAACCUAGAACUUUUUGCAAACCCUUCCUGGUGCUUUCCAUGGGGUUGGUAGAGACAGUAGGUUCUACGGCCCCAGAAUCCUCAGUUUGGGGUCUGAUCCCCAUAUUCUCAGAAGCCAGGUGGCUCCCACACGUGUCACAGGCUGUCAUUCUAACGGGCCUCACUGAAGGCAUUUAUGAAGUAUGAGAUUAGAGCUAGCCUGACCAUGAAGAAAUAUGAGUUGGUCCUAAUAAUAAUAAUAAUAAUAACAGUUUCACUCACUGACUACAUACAAUUUCCCAGACACUGUGCUAAACACAUCAUGGGUGUCAUUGCAUUCAAUCCUCAUAACAACCCAGUGAGGUAGGUCCUAUCGUUUCUCCACUUCACAGAUGAGGAAUAAGCCAAGUCUCAGAGAGACACAGAGGCUUGCCUAAAAAUCACACAGCCUGUAAGUCAUGAAACCGGAAUCAAACCAAGUCUGUGUUUAUGCUGUUAACCUGCCUUUGUCCCCUUCCUCCCACUGCCUGGCCCGAGGGGGGGGGGGGGUGCGCUGACCCCGAUGACUUCCUCUGGGGAAGGGGGGGAAACAAGCCUUCCGUGAGACCCGAGUGGUCUCUCCUGUGCUCUGUGACUGUAAUAAAGUGCUGCACCUUGA